rnacentral:rRNA from 1 species
UGGGGAAUUUUGGACAAUGGGCGAAAGCCUGAUCCAGCAAUGCCGCGUGUGUGAAGAAGGCCUUCGGGUUGUAAAGCACUUUUGUCCGGAAAGAAAUCCUUGGCUCUAAUACAGUCGGGGGAUGACGGUACCGGAAGAAUAAGCACCGGCUAACUACGUGCCAGCAGCCGCGGUAAUACGUAGGGUGCAAGCGUUAAUCGGAAUUACUGGGCGUAAAGCGUGCGCAGGCGGUUCGCUAAGACCGAUGUGAAAUCCCCGGGCUCAACCUGGGAACUGCAUUGGUGACUGGCAGGCUAGAGUAUGGCAGAGGGGGGUAGAAUUCCACGUGUAGCAGUGAAAUGCGUAGAGAUGUGGAGGAAUACCGAUGGCGAAGGCAGCCCCCUGGGCCAAUACUGACGCUCAUGCACGAAAGCGUGGGGAGCAAACAGGAUUAGAUACCCUGGUAGUCCACGCCCUAAACGAUGUCAACUAGUUGUUGGGGAUUCAUUCCUUAGUAACGUAGCUAACGCGUGAAGUUGACCGCCUGGGGAGUACGGUCGCAAGAUUAAAACUCAAAUGAAUUGACGGGGUCAUAGCUGUUUCCU